UACGUAGGGUGCGAGCGUUAAUCGGAAUUACUGGGCGUAAAGCGUGCGUAGGCGGUUCCUCAAGUCCGUUGUGAAAUCCCCGGGCUCAACCUGGGAACUGCAUCUGUGACUGCAUCGCUGGAGUGCGGCAGAGGGGGAUGGAAUUCCGCGUGUAGCAGUGAAAUGCGUAGAUAUGCGGAGGAACACCGAUGGCGAAGGCAAUCCCCUGGGCCUGCACUGACGCUCAUGCACGAAAGCGUGGGGAGCAAACAGG
rnacentral:rRNA from 1 species